UACGUAGGUGACAAGCGUUGUCCGGAUUUACUGGGCGUAAAGAGCGCGCAGGCGGUCGAUCAAGUCGAGUGUGAAAGCCCCCGGCUCAACUGGGGAGGGUCAUUCGAUACUGAUCGACUCGAAGGCAGGAGAGGGUAGUGGAAUUCCCGGUGUAGUGGUGAAAUGCGUAGAUAUCGGGAAGAACACCAGUGGCGAAGGCGGCUGCCUGGCCUGUAACUGACGCUGAGACGCGAAAGCGUGGGGAGCGAACCGG
rnacentral:rRNA from 1 species